GUAUAGCUCCUGGGGCUGCCUUACCCACUGUCAUGAACUGUAGAUCUGGAUCUUUGGACUAAUGAGCUUGCUCCAAUUAGACUGGAGGUCUAGAAAAAUAUAUCUACCUUUGACCUUAUAGCAUUGGCUUGGGCAAGGAGAAAAUAGGAGCAACAGUCAAUUCUAUCCCUCUCUGAACAAAAAGGAAGACACUGUGUCUCCUGCACUGUUGCUUUAAAUACCAAAGAUGUCUCAGAGGCAUAUUAUGGGAGAAGACCGAUCUAACCAUAUCUGCUAAGCUAARUGAAUGUACAGCAGUAAUAUUUCUUCUGUUACUACAUCUAUUAAAAGGAUUAGACAUGAACAAAUGAUUUCUGACCUUCUCUGCAUGCUUGAUGAGGCUGUGAGGAUGUGUUCUUCAAACUAGAACAUCUUUUUUUUUAAUCUUUCUCUGAAGUACCAGUUUCUCAAGACAACUAGUUCUGCUUGUGAUACCAGCACCAGUGGGAGAGCUCCUCCAAGCUGCCCCGUGGAAAAGGAAGUUACUGCUUUGGUUCAUUCUUUGUUCAAAGAAUUGUUCAUUGAGCACAGCCACAGAAUCAAGCAUUAUUCUGAGCUGUACCUCUGUGAGGAUAGAAGAAUUCUACUUGGAAGGAAAGAAAGCAAAGCAAGACUUGCAUAAGUCACAGUUUUCCUCCAGCCUUCUUUUUUUUUUUAACUGCUGGAAAUGGCCCAUCAGCAGGAAGAAAAAGAUACAUGACCAUACAGCCUGGUUUUCAAUUCCCAAUUGAAUUUACAGGCCAAUAGUGGAAGUGCUUUAUCUCAAAACACUGCUCAUAAUAGUCCCUUGCUGGUUCUGUAGUAGACUUUUGAGAAACAAAUAUGUGUUCUCAUGCAUGCACCAGAUUGCGCUGCAGGCUCUGCAUGAUCAGAUGACAUUUGGCUGCUAUCAACAGCAACAGUUCUUCUUCACUAGUCUGUCUAAAACAGCCUUGUCUUCUGUAUUCCAAGAAAUAAUUGUUAAUGUGCUAUGGAGGUAUGUGUUUAAACCUAAAGGCAAGAAUACAUAUAGGACUCAUACAAAGUCCUACAAUCGCUUCC